rnacentral:rRNA from 1 species
UCUGGGAUUAGAUACCCUGUUAUUUAAAAUGUAAAUAUAAAAAUUAAGGUAGUAAUAGUUAUUUGCUUGAAACUUAAAAAAUUUGGCGGUAUUUUAGUCUAUUCAGAGGAACUUGUUUUUUAAUCGAUAUUCCGCGAUGGACCUUACUUAAAUUUGUAAUCAGUUUAUAUACCGUUGUUAUUAAAAAUUUUAAAAGAAUAUUAAUUUUUUAAAUUUUAUAAAAAAAUAUAUAUCAGAUCAAGGUGUAGCUAAUAUUUAAGUAAAAAUGAGUUACAAUAAAAUUAUUUAAACGAAUAUAAAUUUGUAAUAUUUAUUGAAGGUGGAUUUGAUAGUAAAAUUAUAAAGAUUAAUAAUUUGAUUUUAGCUCUAAAAUAUGUACAAAUCGCCCGUCACUCUC